rnacentral:rRNA from 1 species
CCCGGGGGGCUGCAGUGAGGAAUAUUGGUCAAUGGGCGGAAGCCUGAACCAGCCAAGUCGCGUGAGGGAAUAAGGCCCUACGGGUCGUAAACCUCUUUUGCCGGGGAGCAAGGGCGGGGACGUGUCCCGGCCCGGAGAGUACCCGGAGAAAAAGCAUCGGCUAACUCCGUGCCAGCAGCCGCGGUAAUACGGAGGAUGCGAGCGUUAUCCGGAUUUAUUGGGGUAAAAGGGUGCGUAGGCGGGCUUUUAAGUCAGCGGUAAAAAUUCGGGGCUCAACCCCGUCCGGCCGUUGAAACUGGGGGCCUUGAGUGGGCGAGAAGAAGGCGGAAUGCGUGGUGUAGCGGUGAAAUGCAUAGAUAUCACGCAGAACCCCGAUUGCGAAGGCAGCCUGCCGGCGCCCUACUGACGCUGAGGCACGAAAGUGCGGGGAUCGAACAGGAUUAGAUACCCCAGUAGUC